UGCUCCUUUGGCUUAUACAAA
rnacentral:piRNA from 1 species